rnacentral:lncRNA from 13 species
AGACUCCCUAGAUGCCAACAUUUUCACCUCAGAAAAAGGCGUCCCCGAGUGACCAUCCCUCACUCCCUUCCUCAGGCUUUCAGCAGCCCCCUGCCCAAGCCAGUUUGAUAUCACCUGGACAGUGAGCCCCUCCAUGCCCCUCUGCUCCUGGCCGCCAGCAGGAGUUUGGUGAACAAAUGAAGGAACAAUUGAGUGAGUUGUCGAGGAGUGGGGGACCCGCCAGCCUGACUCCUGCCCAGGAUUUGGGAUUCCUGCAGAGGCUGCCUGGGGCUGGAGCCCCUGGGGAGGCUGCUGCCUGCACCCACAGAGUUCUGGGCCCCUUUGUCUCUGGGGCCUGGUUUUCCAAUGGUCUCUUCCAUCCCAAGGCUUCCUCAUGUCGCGCGGUGAGAGAUCAGUGAAUGUGACACACAAGAACUUGCUGGGUGCCCCCAAAUCCAGAGCCGCGCCUUCUCAGCAUGUACCUCCACCACCCAGGAUGGCUGUGGUGGUUCCACCUCAGGACAGAACGGUCACCUGCCUGGAGCCUCAGACUUGCCAGAGAAGCCGGAGCUUCUGCAGAAAUCUCCCCCGACUCCGGGGCUUUACAAAACAGGCUGGAGCAGGAGGACACCCACAUGGGCUUAGUACCAAGUGGGGGAUUCUAGAAGAGUCUCUGGCCUCCCCAGGUCCCCACCAAAAAGCAGAAAGGGAC